rnacentral:rRNA from 1 species
GACGGGACCCGCACAAGCGGUGGAUGAUGUGGAUUAAUUCGAUGCAACGCGAAAACCUUACCUACCCUUGACAUGUCCGGAAUCCCGAAGAGAUUUGGGAGUGCUCGCAAGAGAACCGGAACACAGGUGCUGCAUGGCUGUCGUCAGCUCGUGUCGUGAGAUGUUGGGUUAAGUCCCGCAACGAGCGCAACCCUUGUCAUUAGUUGCCAUCAUUUGGUUGGGCACUCUAAUGAGACUGCCGGUGACAAACCGGAGGAAGGUGGGGAUGACGUCAAGUCCUCAUGGCCCUUAUGGGUAGGGCUUCACACGUCAUACAAUGGUCGGUACAGAGGGUUGCCAACCCGCGAGGGGGAGCUAAUCCCACAAAGCCGGUCGUAGUCCGGAUCGCAGUCUGCAACUCGACUGCGUGAAGUCGGAAUCGCUAGUAAUCGUGGAUCAGCAUGUCACGGUGAAUACGUUCCCGGGUCUU